AUGGAUGUAUCAGAAAAGCUUCUAAAAUAUAGAUACCCUAUAACAAUAGCACUAUUAAUUUCAAUAUUGUUUUCCUUGGUGAUAUAUGCAGCUCCACAUUUUCUAAGCAUUCUGGCUUAUUUUUGGCCUUUAUUUGCUUCAACUACUGUCUUCUUGAUAGCAAUAAUAGCCUUUGGAGGUGUUUCAAAAUUCUCAAGUGAAACUCAUGGUGAAAAAGCUGGUGAAGGACUCUUGGAUUAUGUAGCAGGAAAGCCAGAACAUACUCAAGAAGCUCAGUAUUUUUAA